rnacentral:rRNA from 1 species
AUGGUGGUCCUUGCCAAGGGCGAGCUGGAGCAGAUAGCGCUGCCGGCGGCCCAGCCGCCGCUGGCCCACGUGCGGGAGGUCGACCUGUCCGCCGCCCCGGGGCCCGGCCGCGCGGCCGCGGCGCGCGCGCUGGUGUCCGCGUGCGAGGAGCAGGGCUUCUUCAAGGUGACCGGCCACGGGGUGCCGCCGGAGCUCGUGCGCGCCGCGGAGGCGGCCGCGGCGGAGUUCUUCGCGCUGCCGCAGGCCGAGAAGGAGGCCGCCGCUGGCCGGCCGCUCGGGUACGACAGCAAGCGCAUCGGCGUCUCCGGCGACCUCGGGUGGAUCGAGUACCUCAUGCUGGGCGUCACCCCCGCCGGCGCGCUGCCCGCCGCCUCCUUCGCGUCCUGGACAUUGCCGUGCGCAGGCGCCGCCGUCGCGUCGCUGUCCGAGCCCCCCUGCCCCUUACGGGAUCUUCUGGAGGAGUACGCGGCGGCGGUGCGGCGGAUGGCGUGCGGCGUGCUGGAGCUGAUGGCGGAGGGGCUGGGGAUCGCGCCGGCGGACGCGCUGUCCCGGCUGGUGGCGGACGCGGAGAGCGACAGCAUGCUCCGGGUGAACCACUACCCGCCGCGGCCGGAGCUGCAGGGCCGCCUCCUGACGGGGUUCGGCGAGCACACGGACCCGCAGGUCAUCUCCGUGCUCCGCUCCAACGGCACCUCCGGGCUGGAGAUCUGCGCGCGCGAUGGCUCCUGGGCCGCCGUGCCGCCCGACCCCGACUCCUUCUUCGUCAACGUCGCCGACGCCCUGCAGGUGCUGACGAACGGGAGGUUCAGGAGCGUGAGGCACAGGGUGGUGGUGAGCAGCGAGAGGCCGAGGGUGUCCAUGAUCUUCUUCGGCGGCCCGCCGUUCGGCCAGAGGCUGGCGCCGCUGCGCCAGCUGCUAGGGGACGGCGGCCGGAGCCGCUACAGGGAGUUCACCUGGAAGGAGUACAAGAGCAGCACCCACAAGGGCAGGCUCGCCACCGACCGCCUCUGCAGCUUCGAGAACUAG